CAUCAAUUCUGCUAGUCUGCUACCACAACUUUUUGUUUCCGUUACUGUGAAAGAUGCCUGGGCGCUGAAAGCACCAUAGGAAAGAUCAAGCUCCAUGACUACAUCGGCAAUAGCUGGGCCAUCGUUUUCUCUGACUCAGGUGAUUUCACGCCGGUCUGCACCACCGAGCUUGCGAAGAUGGCCGAGUAUUCCAAGGUGUUCAAGGAGAAAGGAGUGAAGCUGCUGGGUUUGUCCUGCGAGAGGGAAGCCUACAGUGUAAUAAUGACAGUGCGUGCGGUUAGAAUUUGAGAUAUCAAGCCCCUACAAAACAAUAUCCAAAUUAAAGUCGGGGUAUGCAGGCUGUGGAGGUCAAAGAGGUUACAGCCUGUAGCGCUCCAAACAGUUUGAGUACGUCAUAGUUCCGCGAGUUCUUAAAACAUAAACCAACCGAAUGUUCGAUUUACAUUUUAGAAAACUCGCUAGGCAUUUUUUAAAUAAAUUUUUCAUAAAACACA